CUAUGGGGUCUGUGGGGUGGCUAUGGGGUCUGUGGGAUGGCUGUGGGGUCUGUGGGGUGGCUGUGGGGUCUAUGGGGUCUAUGGGUAUGGGGUCUGUGGGGUGGCUAUGGGGCAGAUAUGGGGUCUGUGGGGUGGCUAUGGGGUCUGUGGCUAUGGGGUCUGUGGGUAUGGGGUCUGUGGGGUGGCUAUGGGGUCGCUAUGGGGUCUGUGGAUAUGGGGUCUGUGGGUAUGGGGUCUGUGGGGUGGCUAUGGGGCAGAUAUGGGGUCUGUGGGGUGGAUAUGGGGCAGAUAUGGGGUCUGCGGGGUGGGUAUGGGGUCGCUAUGGGGUCUGUGGGGUGGCUAUGGGGUCUGUGGGAUGGCUGUGGGGUCUGUGGGGUGGCUGUGGGGUCUAUGGGGUCUAUGGGUAUGGGGUCUGUGGGGUGGCUAUGGGGCAGAUAUGGGGUCUGUGGGGUGGCUAUGGGGUCGCUGUGGGGUCUGUGGGGUGGCUAUGGGGUCUGUGGGUAUGGGGUCUGUGGGGUGGCUGUGGGGCAGAUAUGGGGUCUGUGGGUAUGGGGUCUGUGGGGUGGCUGUGGGGCAGAUAUGGGGUCUGUGGGGUGGCUAUGGGGCAGAUAUGGGGUCUGUGGGGUGAGUAUGGGGCAGUUAUGGGGUCUGUGAGGUGGGUAUGGGGCAGAUAUGGGGUCUGUGGGAUGGCUCUGGGGUCUGUGGGUAUGGGGUCUGUGGGGUGGCUAUAGGGUCGCUAUGGGGUCUGUGGCUAUGGGGCAGAUACAGGGUCUGUGGGGUGGGCAUGGGGCAGUUAUGGGGUCUGUGAGGUGGACUUGGGGCAGAUAUGGGGUCUGUGGGUAUGGGGUCUGUGGGGUGGCUAUGGGACAGAUAUGGGGUCUGUGGGGUGAGUAUGGGGCAGUUACGGGGUCUGUGGGGUGGCUAUGGGGCAGAUACGGGGUCUGUGGGGUGGCUAUGGGGUCUGUGGGUAUGGAGUCUGUGAGUAUGGGGUAUGUGGGGUGGCUGUGGGGUCUGUGGCUAUGGGGUCUGUGGGGUGGCUAUGGGGUGGCUAUGGGGUCUGUGGGGGGGUUAUAGGGUCACUAUGGGGUCUGUGGGGUGGCUAUGGGGUCUAUGGGUAUGGGGUCUCUGGGGUGGCUAUGGGGUCUGUGGGGUGGCAAUGGGGCAGAUAUGGGAUUAUGGGGCAGAUAUAGGGUCUAUGGGUUUGUUAUGGGGCUGUGGGGUGAUAAUGGGGCCUGUGGGGUGGUUAUGGGGAAGAUAUGGGAUUAUGGGGUAGAUACUGGGUCUAUGGGGUGGUUAUGGGGCAGAUAUGGGAUUAUGGGGUGGAUAUAGGGUCUAUGGGAUGGUUAUGUGGCAGAUACGGGGUCUAUGGGGCGGUUCUGCGGUCUGUGGGGCGAUGUGGGGCAGUUGGGGGUCUAAUAAGGGGGCUGUGGGGUCGUUAUGGGGCAGAUACGGGGUCUAUGGGGCAGAUACGGGGUCUGUGGGUUUGUUAUGGGGCUGUGGGGUGGUUAUGGGGCAGGUAUGGGGUCUGUGGGGUUGUUAUGGGGCUGUGGGGUGGUUAUGGGGCUGUGGGGUGGUUAUGGGGCACAUAUGGGAUUAUGGGGUGGAUAUAGGGUCUAUGGGGUGGUUAUGGGGCAGAUACGGGGUUAUGGGGCGGUUCUGCAGUCUAUGGGGCGAUGUGGGGCAGUUGGGGGGGCUGAUAUGGGGCUGCGGGGUGGUUAUGGGUCAGGUACGGGGUUAUGGGGCAGAUAUGGGGUUAUGGGGUAAAUAUGGGGUCUGUGGGAUGGUUUUGGGGCAGAUACGGGGUUAUGGGGUUGUUCUGCGGUCUGUGGGGCGAUGUGGGGCAGUUGGGGUGGCUGAUAUGGGGCUGUGGGGUGGUUAUGGGGCAGGUAUGGGGUUAUGGGGUAGAUAUGGGGUCUAUGGGGUGGUUAUGGGGCAGAUACGGGGUUAUGGGGCAGAUACGGGGUUAUGGGGCGGUUCUGCGGUCUGUGGGGCGAUGUGGGGCAGUUGGGGGGCUGAUAUGGGGCUGUGGGGUGGUUAUGGGGCAGGUAUGGGGUUAUGGGGUAGAUAUGGGGUCUAUGGGGUUGUUAUGGGGCUGUGGGGUGAUUAUGGGGUCUGUGGGGUGGUUGUGGG
ensembl:lncRNA